rnacentral:rRNA from 1 species
UUCUGUGACCUACCUAUCGUUGCUUCGGCGGACUCGCCCCAGCCCGGACGCGGACUGGACCAGCGGCCCGCCGGGGACCUCAAACUCUUGUAUUCCAGCAUCUUCUGAAUACGCCGCAAGGCAAAACAAAUGAAUCAAAACUUUCAACAACGGAUCUCUUGGCUCUGGCAUCGAUGAAGAACGCAGCGAAACGCGAUAAGUAAUGUGAAUUGCAGAAUCCAGUGAAUCAUCGAAUCUUUGAACGCACAUUGCGCCCGCCAGCAUUCUGGCGGGCAUGCCUGUUCGAGCGUCAUUUCAACCCUCGACCUCCCCUUGGGGGGGUCGGCGUUGGGGACCGGCAGCACACCGCCGGCCCUGAAAUGGAGUGGCGGCCCGUCCGCGGCGACCUCUGCGCAGUAAUACAGCUCGCACCGGAACCCCGACGCGGCCACGCCGUAAAACACCCAACUUCUGAACGUUGACCUCGAAUCAGGUAGGACUACCCGCUGAACUUAAGCAUAUCAA